rnacentral:lncRNA from 12 species
UUCCCGUAAUAGAAGGAACUAGAAAGAACCGCCAGGGGCUUGGCCUGGGGUGGGGGUGGGGGCCCGGAGAAGCUGGAGCCAGGGGCGGCGGGCGGCGGGCGGCGGGCCCUUCUCCGGCUGCUGUUCCAGGCAGUGCCGGUUGGGGCUGAUGGCUGGCAGCGGAGCCCCGGCCGCGUGACACUGCGGAUUCCCCGAGCCCGGCCGAGGAGCGGCAGGGCAGCCGCAGCGGUGCUCCCUUCGCCUCCUCCCCGUCUUUGUUUUCUUCCCUCGUCACGCAAUUUCCCCUGGGGGUUCGCAAAACACCCCCCCCCCAAACAAAAAAAAAACAACAAAAAGCCAACCCACGGGUUCAUCUUAAAAGGUGUUCUGGUGAGUUCCGCAGCGGCAGCUUCCUUCCCCGCAGACACGAGAUCAGAGCCCCAGAAAUCUGGGUUAGGGACUUGGACCCCGUAACGGGGACGAGUGAACGUACCAGAGUGAAGAGGCUGCCCGCGGGCCCUUGGGACUCGCGUCCUGGACGCCGGAGGGCCGCGGGGAGGGGAGGGCCGCGGGGAGGGGAGGGCUGCGGGGAGGGCCGCGGGGAGGGGAGGGCCGCGGGGAGGGCCUGACACAGCCCUCGGGGAGGCGCCGCAACCGGAGUCCGCGCCGGUUUCCAGUUUCGCCUUCUCUCUCUUUCAGGAAGGCCCUUUUAAAAUUUCAUUUUAUUUUUGUUUUUUUUAACAGGAGGCUUAAAGAACCCCCCUCACCCUCGCCCUCCUCGUUCAGGUGGAACCGACCACUUUUCACCUGUUGGUGGCUAAAGUGUCUCCAAGGACGCGGUUGUCGGAAACAGGUUACAAGUUUGUGUGAUUUACAUACGUGUACAGUGAAGUAUUUGGAAGAGAUGGACUUUGGCCAGUCGAUGGAAUUUUAUUUGAUCUUCUCAUCAAAUGACUUUAAAAAUGAAAUGAAAAGUUCCAGCUUUCAUUUUUUAAUUCUUUUGGCAAGAUAUGAUGAAAAUAAAUCCAAGAAGAGUAGGAAGAUGUCAUGUGAAAUGCCAAGAAAAUGGAUUAACAAAAAAAAAUCAUCUGUUUUAAGGUGGAGCAGUUCAAAUAUUAAGAAAAAGAUCUCUUUCUUUUGGCAAGAGAGACAUUUUGGUGGUUUUAUUUCUUGGAUAAAGAAUGGGUCAUUCCUUAUUUAA